rnacentral:lncRNA from 1 species
GGACGUUGAUGGGAGUGACUGACGUGACAGUCAUGUAUCAGCAAAGUGCAUAAUGUGCAGAUUCAGAGUCCCUAUACAUAUAAUAACUGACAACGAAAUACAAUUCACUGGUGGGGAGUUUACGAGAUUAUAUGACGACAUGGGCAGAAAGAUUCAUUUCUCAUCGGUAUACCGGUCACAAGGAAAUGGACUAAAAAAGGGCAAUUGUUCAAGGACUAAAAAAGAAAGUCGAGCAAGUCAAGAGUUCGUGGGUCGACCUACUGCCAGAAAUCCGAUCCUAUAGGCUUAUAGAACCACAGAGAAGACACCC